CCGGGGCUGCACGCGUAAUACAUUGAAGGAGUCAGCAUGUUUUCUCCCUGCCCGACAGGGCCGGGUAACCCUUUGAAAUUCCUUCGUGCUGGGGAUAGGCGACUGUAAUUACCGCCUUGAACGAGGAAUUCCCAGUAAGCGCGAGUCAUCACCUCGUGCUGAUUACGUCCCUGGCCUUUGUGCACACCGCCCGUCGCUACCACCGAUUGAGCUUUUUAGUGAGGUCUUCGGACUGGCCUCCGGACUAGCCUUCGGGUUGGGCCGGUGUGCCGGAAAGAUGCCCAAACUUGAAUGCUUAGAGGAUGUAAAAGUCGUAACAAGGUUUUC
rnacentral:rRNA from 1 species